CCUACGGGAGGCAGCAGUGGGGAAUAUUGCACAAUGGGGGAAACCCUGAUGCAGCGACGCCGCGUGAGUGAAGAAGUAAUUCGUUACGUAAAGCUCUAUCUGCAGGGAAGUAACACUGACCUUACGUUCAUCAUACGGUACCUGAUUAAGAAGCCCAUGCUAACUACGUGCCAGCAGCCGCGGUAAUACGGAGGGGGCAAGCGUUAUCCGGAGUUAUUGGGUGUAAAGGGGGCGUAGAGGGUGCGGUAAGUCUGAGGUGAAAUUCCGUGGCUUAACUGCGGAACUGUUUUGGAAACUGGGGAACUAGAGUGCGGGAGAGGUAAGCGGAAUGCGUAGUGGAGCGGUGAAAUGCGUAGAUAUUAGGAGGAACACCGGUUGCGAAGGCAGCUUACUGGACCGUAACUGACGUUGAGGCUCGAAAGCGUGGGGAGCAAACAGGAUUAGAUACCCGAGUAGUC
rnacentral:rRNA from 1 species